CGCUACUGUCGUACAGUCACUCGACCGCUGCUCAGCUGUUGUCUUCGAAAAACUUGACAAAAGUUGAUCAAAUCCCUGCCACAGAAUCAGUUUGUGCUGGUUUCUGUACCAGCACGACCAGCGCCAGAACACAACAAAUCCAGCUGAGCCUUGGUGGAUUUGUUUUGCGUUUUGGUAAUUGUCUCUGCUGGUGCAGAACCAGCAGAUGCACAGAUGGAGGACAAGGACAGCAUCUUUCCACCUGUCUCCUACAACCAAUCUCCAUUAAGAAUGCAUCAUGGCGUAUGGAGGAAAACGGCAGCAUAUUUCCACCUGUCUUCUUCAGUCUUUUUCCUUGAAGACAUCAUAAAGUGAGUGUUGGCGCAAGAGCAGAUUGAGCACAUCCAUGUGCCAGCCUCAAGUAAAAGCGAGUGUCCGUCUCCAUAGACGCCGAGCUUGAUGUCAUGGCAGCAAUCCAGGAAAUGUUGAGCUUGUAGUUUGAUCAACAUAUAUCAAUUGGUAACUGAUAUCUGUUCUUUCAAUAGGACGGGUGAUAUUUUGACCCUACAUAGUGGAUAUUCUCUGCAGUUGACCUGAGUGUCAUCAGAUGUUGGAAGACUAGAAGAGUCACCGAGAGCACAGCCUGAUUGAGAACCUAUCGACGGGAAGUUUCCUAAACUGUCCACGUUGGAUGUACGAAGAGCUUCUGAUGCCUACUCCACCAACUGUCAUCGUAAGGAAGGAUGACGCCUGCCUGCCACUCAUUGGACAAUCAUUUUGAAGGAGUGGAAUCAAGUGCAAAUGGUAUUCUAAGUCUAAUGUACAAUUCAUCCAGAGUGGUCUGUAGCAGAUUGAGCACGUCACAGCAGGUGAAGCAAGCAUUCGUCUGCACGGGCCGAGCACAACGGCCUGAUCGGUCAAACUUUACUACGGACGGGUGCGACGUCACGGCAACCAAUCCAAGAAAUGUUGACUUUGUACUGUGGUCAUGUCAUCAAACAUUGUAUAUAAAUUAUUGUCAGCCGUAUUUAUUUCAAUAGGAUGGGUGAUAUUUUGAGACUAAGAUCAGCAGUUCCACGACCUUGCAAAGCCUGAAAAGGGGAUGUUCUCAGUAGUAAGAGGCCACUCAACCAUAUUGCAUAACUGCAUAUUUUAACAACUGCCAUUGUAAAUAUGUGACAGUAGAGAUUGUCUACCCUCGAUUUUCCCCCAGAAAAACUUUCAUCUGACCCAAAAAUGGAAUGUACCAAGUCAAUAUUAAUGUGAAAGUUUAGAAAGGGUGACGUGAUGCUACUUUCUGCUGGCACUUGAAUGGUGUCUAUUUUAGCACUAAGCUAACAGUAGUAGUAUUUGUAGUUUUCUAGUUGUGUUCAAGAAAUAAUCAAAUGCACUACAAUGUAUAUAUUGAAUGAUCACAAUUCAGUGCCAUUGACAGCCAAUCCAAUUUGACCGGGAGGGUGUUGGGCAGCCCUCCCGGUUUCAUGGAUUGGACAUCUUUUGGCAGAUUUAGUUAGUAAAGUGUACGUUUAGCCAAUUGCACUGUUGCAAUUGUUUAAAUAAAAGGAACGGAAUGAGAAGCCAGAAUGGUUUAAUGUUGAUGAUCAUAACGGUUCCUAAUGGGUUAUUUUAUAAACUGGCAAAUACACACUGAUUGGAUGUCUAUUGUGUCAAUUAGUCCGUUUGUACGGAGAGGGGCCUGCAGCCCUCCCCGGUGUUGCAUGUUUGGUACCAAACCAAGCAUUUGUAUUACUACGCCCUUUUUUUUGGCACUUGAUGUGUUACGAAUGCGAAUCCUAAAUGCGA